UACGUAGGCAGCAAGCGUUGUUCGGAAUUACUGGGCGUAAAGGGCUCGUAGGCGGCCAACUAAGUCAGACGUGAAAUCCCUCGGCUUAACCGGGGAAUGGCGUCUGAUACUGGAUGGCUUGAAUCCGGGAGAGGGAUGCGGAAUUCCAGGUGUAGCGGUGAAAUGCGUAGAUAUCUGGAGGAACACCGGUGGCGAAGGCGGCAUCCUGGACCGGCAUUGACGCUGAGGAGCGAAAGCCAGGGAGCAAAGCGGG
rnacentral:rRNA from 1 species